rnacentral:sRNA from 1 species
AGGAGCCUAUGGGGGAAGGAGGGCCCAGUGUUUGAGGGCGGACCUAAGAGGCAGGCUUUACUAAGGAAGCCGAGAGGGAAGUAGCGUGGGCAGGAUCAGUGGAGGGAUGCGGAGGAUUCCCUUCGUAAAUCAGCCGGUGGGACUCAUGUGGGAGGGCCAGAAAACAGACGAGAAAGAGAAGGGAGGAAGAAAGGAGGACAAUCACCUUCAUUUUCCUUUUCCUACUCAUCUUUAAGGACGAUGCCAUGAGUAUGCCCCUGUAGCUUCAGGAAUGGCCCAGUCCAACCGCCUCAAUCUUUUCACUGUUUCGCAGCACUCUGGGACAAGGUUCUGCUUCCGAGGUCACCUCAGCUUGUCGCCAAGACUUUAACAGAGGCUGUUCAAGACAGGUUAGGAAAGGUGAGGAGUGAAGGAUGUCCCUGCUUCCGUAUUUAACUGGGAGGGAGGCAGAUAAAGAGCUGAAGAUGAAGGACUGGAAAGACGGCUCAGUGGUUUAGUGCUGUUGCUC